AUGACAACAGAAGACACAGAAAUCCUCCUCAUCAAAAACAUAACUUUGAUCUGCAUCCUCAUCUGGACUCUCCUCUGCUGCUGCUUCACAGAGUCCAGAGGUCAGGUCACAGUGACUCAGAAUGCAGCAGUGAGAGCUGAUCUGGGAGGAUCUGUUACCAUCAACUGUAGAACCAGUCAGAAUGUCUAUAGCUCUAACUAUUUAGCCUGGUAUCAACAGAAAGAUGGACAAACUCCUAAGCUGCUCAUUUAUCGUGCUAGCUCUCGAGAAUCAGGGACUCCAAGUCGUUUUAGAGGCAGUGGAUCAAACUCUGACUUCACUCUGACCAUCAGUGGAGUUCAGGCUGAAGAUGCUGCAGUUUACUAUUGUCAGAGUUACCACUACAUCAACAGUAAGGAUCUGUUCACACAGUGA